rnacentral:rRNA from 1 species
ACGAACGCUGGCGGCGUGCUUAAUACAUGCAAGUCGAACGAAGAUGCUGCGAGGAAGUUUUCGGACGGAAUUGCAGUAGACUGAGUGGCGGACGGGUGAGUAACGCGUGAGCAACCUGCCUACAAGAGGGGGAUAACAGCUGGAAACGGCUGCUAAUACCGUAUAAGACCACGCUUUCGCAUGGGAGAGGGGUCAAAGGAGAAAUCCGCUUGUAGAUGGGCUCGCGUCCCAUUAGCUAGUUGGGAGGGUAAAGGCCUACCAAGGCGACGAUGGGUAGCCGACCUGAGAGGGUGAUCGGCCACACUGGAACUGAGACACGGUCCAGACUCCUACGGGAGGCAGCAGUAGGGAAUAUUGGGCAAUGGGGGAAACCCUGACCCAGCAACGCCGCGUGAGGGAAGAAGGUUUUCGGAUUGUAAACCUCUGUCCUAUGGGACGAAGGAAGUGACGGUACCAUAGGAGGAAGCUCCGGCUAACUACGUGCCAGCAGCCGCGGUAAUACGUAGGGAGCGAGCGUUGUCCGGAAUUACUGGGCGUAAAGGGUGCGUAGGCGGUAUUUUAAGUCGCAUGUGAAAUACUCGGGCUUAACCCGGGGGCUGCAUGCGAAACUGGGGUACUAGAGUGCAGGAGAGGUAAGCGGAAUUCCUAGUGUAGCGGUGAAAUGCGUAGAUAUUAGGAGGAACACCAGUGGCGAAGGCGGCUUACUGGACUGUAACUGACGCUGAGGCACGAAAGCGUGGGGAGCAAACAGGAUUAGAUACCCUGGUAGUCCACGCUGUAAACGAUGGAUACUAGGUGUAGGGGUCGAAAAGGCUUCUGUGCCGGAGCAAACGCAAUAAGUAUCCCGCCUGGGGAGUACGACCGCAAGGUUGAAACUCAAAGGAAUUGACGGGGGCCCGCACAAGCAGCGGAGCAUGUGGUUUAAUUCGAAGCAACGCGAAGAACCUUACCAAGGCUUGACAUCCUCUGACGAACAUAGAGAUAUGUUUUCCCUUCGGGGCAGAGAGACAGGUGGUGCAUGGUUGUCGUCAGCUCGUGUCGUGAGAUGUUGGGUUAAGUCCCGCAACGAGCGCAACCCUUGUAGCUAGUUGCCAGCGAGUAAAGUCGGGAACUCUAGGUAGACUGCCGGGGACAACUCGGAGGAAGGUGGGGACGACGUCAAAUCAUCAUGCCCCUUAUGUCUUGGGCUACACACGUGCUACAAUGGCCGGUACAAAGAGGAGCGAAACCGUAAGGUGGAGGGAAUCUCAAAAAGCCGGUCCCAGUUCGGAUUGUGGGCUGCAACCCGCCCACAUGAAGUUGGAGUUGCUAGUAAUCGCGAAUCAGCAUGUCGCGGUGAAUGCGUUCCCGGGCCUUGUACACACCGCCCGUCACACCACGGAAGUUGGGGGCGCCCGAAGCCGGUGGCCUAACCGAAAGGGAGGAGCCGUCGAAGGUGAAACCAAUGACUGGGGUG